rnacentral:lncRNA from 1 species
UUUAUUCACACGCUUGCAUUGCUGAGAGUAUCUGUGCAAAACUGCUUUCUUACAUAGAUAUCCUUGGCAAGAACAUGUCGAGGAUACACACACAGAGUAACUUCGUAGGAAUAUUUGCUCAAUUUUGCUUAGAAAUAUACUCUUUAGGCUCUAUUUGGAUGUCGGAAUAAGCUAUCAAUUGACAACGAAUCCAGUGUAAAGAUUGUGUCAUGUGACUAGAAGAUAUGAGUUUUUCUUGUUCCGUCAAAUCUUGGAUAUUUAUGAUUUAAUAAGAUAGUAUAUUUCACCUACGAAAUGAAUUAUUUUAUUUCGAAAAUAUGACUCAAAAGGUCGAACGUAGUAUUCAUUCAAGACAUUUUGAUCACACCACAUUUACCAAAUACCAUAUGCUUCCUAAGUAAACUCGAAAAGAUAUACCGUAUAAGACGUUAAUGCAUCCAAACAGAGCCUCAAAGUAUAGAGAGAGAGAGAAAAGAUAUACUGUAUAAGACGUUAAUGCAUCCAAACAGAGCCUCAAAGUAUAGAGAGAGAGAGAAAAGAUAUACCGUAUAAGACGUUAAUGCAUCCAAACAGAGCCUCAAAGUAUAGAGAGAGAGAGAAAAGAUAUACUGUAUAAGACGUUAAUGCAUCCAAACAGAGCCUCAAAGUAUAGAGAGAGAGAGAAAAGAUAUACCGUAUAAGACGUUAAUGCAUCCAAACAGAGCCUCAAAGUAUAGAGAGAGAGAGAAAAGAUAUACCGUAUAAGACGUUAAUGCAUCCAAACAGAGCCUCAAAGUAUAGAGAGAGAGAGAAAAGAUAUACCGUAUAAGACGUUAAUGCAUCCAAACAGAGCCUCAAAGUAUAGAGAGAGAGAGAAAAGAUAUACCGUAUAAGACGUUAAUGCAUCCAAACAGAGCCUCAAAGUAUAGAGAGAGAGAGAAAAGAUAUACCGUAUAAGACGUUAAUGCAUCCAAACAGAGCCUCAAAGUAUAGAGAGAGAGAGAAAAGAUAUACCGUAUAAGACGUUAAUGCAUCCAAACAGAGCCUCAAAGUAUAGAGAGAGAGAGAGAGAGAGAGAGUACCAUGCAGGUGACCUCCUUUUUUCCCCUUCUCUACUACUUUCUCCCA